rnacentral:rRNA from 1 species
GGCAAAGUUAAUAAGGGCGCACGGUGGAUGCCUUGGCACUAAGAGCCGAUGAAGGACGUGACUAACGACGAUAUUCUAGGGGGAGCAGUAAGUACGCAUUGAUCCCUAGGUCUCCGAAUGGGGAAACCCAGCUGCUACUAGCAGUUAUUCAUGAGUGAAUACAUAGCUCAUGUAAAGGUAACGCAGAGAACUGAAACAUCUAAGUACCUGCAGGAAGAGAAAGUAAAAACGAUUUCGUAAGUAGCGGCGAGCGAACGCGAAGAAGGGCAAACCAAGAAGCUUGCUUCUUGGGGUUGUAGGACUGCAACGUGGACUUAAGCAUUAUAGUCGAAUAACCUGGGAAGGUUAAUCAAAGAGGGUAAUAAUCCCGUAGACGAAAUAGCGCUUAUACCUAGCAGUAUCCUGAGUAGGGCUGGACACGCGAAAUCCAGUUUGAAUCCGGGAGGACCAUCUCCCAACCCUAAAUACUCCUUAGUGACCGAUAGUGAACCAGUACCGUGAGGGAAAGGUGAAAAGAACCCCGAGAGGGGAGUGAAAUAGCACCUGAAACCGUGUGCCUACAAGAAGUUCGAGCCCGUUAAUGGGUGAGAGCGUGCCUUUUGUAGAAUGAACCGGCGAGUUACGUUAUGAUGCGAGGUUAAGUUGAAGAGACGGAGCCGUAGGGAAACCGAGUCUGAAUAGGGCGCCUUAGUAUCAUGAUGUAGACCCGAAACCUAGUGACCUAUCCAUGAGCAGGGUGAAGGUGUGGUAAGACGCACUGGAGGCCCGAACCAGGACACGUUGAAAAGUGUUUGGAUGACUUGUGGAUAGCGGAGAAAUUCCAAACGAACUGGGAGAUAGCUGGUUCUCUCCGAAAUAGCUUUAGGGCUAGCGUCGAAAUGUAAGUGUAUUGGAGGUAGAGCACUGUUUGGGUGAGGGGUCCGUCUAGGAUUACCAAUCUCAGAUAAACUCCGAAUGCUAAUACACAUGUUCGGCAGUCAGACUGCGAGUGCUAAGAUCCGUAGUCGAAAGGGAAACAGCCCAGACCAACAGCUAAGGUCCCAAAAUAUAUGUUAAGUGGAAAAGGAUGUGGGGUUGCACAGACAACUAGGAUGUUAGCUCAGAAGCAGCUAUCAUUCAAAGAGUGCGUAAUAGCUCACUAGUCGAGUGACCCUGCGCCGAAAAUGUACCGGGGCUAAACAUAUUACCGAAGCUUUGGAUUGAUAUUUUAUCAAUGGUAGGAGAGCGUUCUUAACCGCGAUGAAGGUAUACCGUGAGGAGUGCUGGAGCGUUAAGAAGUGAGAAUGCCGGUAUGAGUAGCGCAAGAUAAGUGAGAAUCUUAUCCACCGUAAGACUAAGGUUUCCAGGGGAAGGCUCGUCCGCCCUGGGUUAGUCGGGACCUAAGGCGAGGCCGAAAGGCGUAGUCGAUGGACAACUGGUUGAUAUUCCAGUACUAGAUAUGAUCGUGAUGGAGGGACGCAGUAGGCUAAGAGAUGCCAGUUAAUGGAUUCUGGUCUAAGCAGUGAGGUGUGAGAUGUGUCAAAUGCAUUUCUCUUUAACAUUGAGCUGUGAUGGGGAAGCAACUACGGUUGCGAACUCUCUGAUGUCACACUGCCAAGAAAAGCUUCUAGCGUAAAGUCAUAUCUACCCGUACCGCAAACCGACACAGGUAGUCGAGGCGAGUAGCCUCAGGUGAUCGAGAGAACUCUCGUUAAGGAACUCGGCAAAAUAGCCCCGUAACUUCGGGAGAAGGGGUGCUGGUGUAAAAGCCAGCCGCAGUGAAUAGGCCCAAGCAACUGUUUAUCAAAAACACAGCUCUCUGCUAAACCGCAAGGUGAUGUAUAGGGGGUGACGCCU